AGUGGGGACCCCAAGGGUGGGUGCUAGAUGCUUCUAGAACGAGACGCAGAGCAGAGGAGCUCUACAUCAGGGGUUUACAACCGGAAGCCCCCUUGUGGUCCGUUUAGGCAUUGCAGCUGUCUGGAAGGCAGUGUUAUGACUGGCUCUACGUCGCCCUACUAGAGGAGGAGGGGUGUGUCUGGGAGGAGGGAGACCUGUCUGAGGGAAGCCAUCUCCACACCGCCACCGUUCACCUCCACAGGAAGACCAGCUGACAGACAGCUGUCUCCGCCUCUCAGACCGCCCCCUCUCCAGUGCUCAGGUAAGCGCCAUCUCACCUGAGGAAGCAGACAUCUACCUCCCGAGAAGGAAGACGAGAAUCGCCAGAUCACGCUGCUGACCCACCCAAUACAACACCCCAUCCCCAAACACAACCCAGUACCACAACCAAACACCAAGCUGGACUGCAA